AAAAAAAGGAGAGAAGGACAUUCCUGGAC
rnacentral:piRNA from 1 species